ensembl:ncRNA F31E8.17 ncRNA
UGCAAAAAACACAAAAAAUGGGGGAACCGGUGGUUUCCCUUUAUAUCUUUCUGCACUACUGAUAUUUUUCUGCGUCUCUUCAUCUUAUAAACUAUUUCAUGUAGUUCUGACUUUUGAAGAGACGCAGCAGUUGUGAAGUGUGAAC